rnacentral:lncRNA from 1 species
CCCUGGGCUGGCAAAGGAGCAGAUCACAAGGCCGUCCCAGAUGUCCAGGCCUGGCCAGACCGCAGUCCUCCCGGCAGCUUGCUGGUGUUGGCAGUGGGCCCCUCCUUCCUCUCCGUGUGCCACUGAGGCACAGCCUGGGAAUUUGGGUGGAUUUAUUUCCUGAACACUCACAGGUGUUACCUCCCCCUACUUUUGAUUCCUGCGGUCUUGACUCAGUUUUGACUCCGUGGUCUGUCACCUCCCUGGCCUCUUAUUUUUGGAUCGGGGUGUCUCUCCUGCCAAAAGCAAGAUAAAUAUUCCAGUUCAGCUGGGUUGUAGCCUUGGUGCUUGGCUAAAAUUUGCUUUCCAGCUUUACUUUUGGCCUGGGCCCUUGGAGAGCCAAAUUGUCCAGUUCCCGAUUCACCUUUGUUCCUUCGGGUGACCUGCUGAGACGCCGUGGCAUCAGAUUGGCGCUGUGUAAAUGAGCAGGGCAAGCUACCGAGGCCAAAUCAGUGCUCAUCUACAAAUGUGCACUGUCAAAUACAGCUACAGGAGAGGCGCCUCCCGAAGACACUUGGAGAGCAUGGUACCUGCAUCCUGGAGUCCAAUACCCAGUGGAGAAAACCAGAGGCAGAGGAGAGAGGGAGCCAAGCCUGGAGGACUCUGCUCCCUCGGACAGUGAUUUCCAUGCAGGGGCUAGAACAGAAGAGGCAGAAAGCCAAACAGAAGCGGAGGACCCCCCAUACCCUGCAGGCCUCCAUCUGGAAGCAAGACCAAGCUGGGAGAAAGGAAAAUCUCUGACCUGGAGUGACAUUUGUGUGGCCUUUAUUAAUUUCAUCAGGGUAGAAAACAAAAUAAAACAAAACAAAACAAAAAAACCGAAUACUGCACCCUUCAGAGAAUUGGAAGGGUUGGGGCAACAAAAAAAUCAUUUUCUGUUGGUGAUCGACUGCAUCCUGUUCAUUCAAUAAAAUGCAUGUGCCCAACAAAGCCUGGAUGAAAGAGUCUUGAUUUAAUAUCAUGUCCCACACUCAUUUAUUCAAUAAGUGGAUAUCGAGCACCUGCUCCAUGCUGGGUAUC